UGCAAGUCGAGCGGUAACAUUUCUAGCUUGCUAGAAGAUGACGAGCGGCGGACGGGUGAGUAACGCGUACGGAUCUGCCUAGUAGUGGGGGACAACAUGUGGAAACGCAUGCUAAUACCGCAUACGCCCUACGGGGGAAAGGAGGGGAUCUUCGGACCUUUCGCUAUUAGAUGAGCCUGCGUGAGAUUAGCUAGUUGGUGGGGUAAAGGCCUACCAAGGCGACGAUCUCUAGCUGGUCUGAGAGGAUGAUCAGCCACACUGGGACUGAGACACGGCCCAGACUCCUACGGGAGGCAGCAGUGGGGAAUAUUGGACAAUGGGCGCAAGCCUGAUCCAGCCAUGCCGCGUGUGUGAAGAAGGCCUUAGGGUUGUAAAGCACUUUCAGGAGUGAGGAAGGGCGUAUAGUUAAUACCUGUAUGUUUUGACGUUAACUCCAGAAGAAGCACCGGCUAACUCUGUGCCAGCAGCCGCGGUAAUACAGAGGGUGCGAGCGUUAAUCGGAAUUACUGGGCGUAAAGCGCGCGUACGCGGUUUGUUAACUCGGAUGUGAAAUCC
rnacentral:rRNA from 1 species